rnacentral:rRNA from 1 species
AUUGAACGCUGGCGGCAGGCCUAACAUAUGCAAGUCGAGCGGAUGAAGGGAGCUUGCUCCUGGAUUCAGCGGCGGACGGGUGAGUAAUGCCUAGGAAUCUGCCUGGUAGUGGGGGAUAACGUCCGGAAACGGGCGCUAAUACCGCAUACGUCCUGAGGGAGAAAGUGGGGGAUCUUCGGACCUCACGCUAUCAGAUGAGCCUAGGUCGGAUUAGCUAGUUGGUGGGGUAAAGGCCUACCAAGGCGACGAUCCGUAACUGGUCUGAGAGGAUGAUCAGUCACACUGGAACUGAGACACGGUCCAGACUCCUACGGGAGGCAGCAGUGGGGAAUAUUGGACAAUGGGCGAAAGCCUGAUCCAGCCAUGCCGCGUGUGUGAAGAAGGUCUUCGGAUUGCAAAGCACUUUAAGUUGGGAGGAAGGGCAGUAAGUUAAUACCUUGCUGUCUUGACGUUACCAACAGAAUAAGCACCGGCUAACUUCGUG